rnacentral:rRNA from 1 species
UACGUAGGGUGCAAGCGUUGUCCGGAAUUAUUGGGCGUAAAGAGCUUGUAGGCGGUUUGUCGCGUCUGCUGUGAAAUUUCGGGGCUCAACCCCGAACUUGCAGUGGGUACGGGCAGACUAGAGUGUGGUAGGGGAGACUGGAAUUCCUGGUGUAGCGGUGAAAUGCGCAGAUAUCAGGAAGAACACCAAUGGCGAAGGCAGCUCUCUGGGACGGUACUGACGCUGAGACGCGAAAGCGUGGGGGAGCGAACAGG